UACAGAGGUCCCAAGCGUUGUCCGGAUUCAUUGGGCGUAAAGGGUGCGUAGGUGGCGCCGUAAGUCGGGUGUGAAAUUUCGGAGCUUAACUCCGAAACUGCAUUCGAUACUGCGGUGCUUGAGGACUGGAGAGGAGACUGGAAUUCAUGGUGUAGCAGUGAAAUGCGUAGAUAUCGUAAGGAAGACCAGUGGCGAAGGCGGGUCUCUGGACAGUUCCUGACGCUGAGGGACGAAAGCUAGGGGAGCAAACGGG
rnacentral:rRNA from 1 species